rnacentral:rRNA from 1 species
GUCUUCUUGUCUAUAUAUGAAAGUCUGGUCUGCCCACUGAAAUUUGAAGGGCCGCGGUAUUUUGACCGUGCAAAGGUAGCAUAAUCAUUAGUCUUUUAAUUGGAGGCUGGAAUGAAGGGCUGCACGAGGUAUAAACUGUCUUAUUUGAAUUGUUAUUAGAACUUAAUUUUUAAGUUAAAAAGCUUAAAUUUUUUUAAAGGACGAGAAGACCCUAUAGAACUUUAUAUCAAUAUGAAGUAGACGGUAUUUGGUUGUUUUUAUGUCUAUUUGUAUUUUUAUUUUGUUGGGGUGAUGGGAAAAUAAAAUGAACUUUUUUUGUUGAUUUACAUUAAUGUAUGAGUGUUUGAUCCAUUUUUAGUGAUUAUAAGAUUAAGUUACCUUAGGGAUAACAGCGUAAUUUUCCCUUAGAGUUCUUAUCGACGGGGAAGCUUGCGACCUCGAUGUUGGAUUAAGAUUAAUUUUUGGUGUAGAAGCUAAAAUAUUAGGUCUGUUCGACCUUUAAAUUCUU